rnacentral:rRNA from 1 species
GACGAACGCUGGCGGCGUGCUUAACACAUGCAAGUCGAACGAAGUGGCGAACGGGUGAGUAACGCGUAAUCAACCUGCCCUUCAGAGGGGGACAACAGUUGGAAACGACUGCUAAUACCGCAUACUGAAGGAGGGGAUUGCGUCUGAUUGGCUAGUUGGAGGGGUAACGGCCCACCAGUGCGAUGAUCAGAUGCCGGGCUGAGGAGAGGAACGGGCACAUUGGGACGGAGACACGGCCCCGACUCCUACGUGAUGCAGCAGUGGGGAAUCUUCCGCAAUGGACGAAAGUCGGACGGAGCAACGCCGCGUGAGUGAUGACGGCCUUCGGGGUGUAAAGCUCUGUUAAUCGGGACGCGGUACCGGAAUAGAAAGCCACGGCUAACUACGUGCCAGCCGCCGCGGUAAUAC